CCAAUAGCGUAUAUUAAAGUUGUUGCAGUUAAAAAGCUCGUAGUUGAAUUUCGGGGUCAGUAGGUUGGUCAUGCCACUGGUAUGUACUGGUCUCACUGAUUCCUCCUUCCUGAUGAACUGUAAUGCCAUUAAUUUGGUGUUGCAGGGAAUCUGGACUGUUACUUUGAAAAAAUUAGAGUGUUUAAAGCAGGCUAACGCCUGAAUACAUUAGCAUGGAAUAAUGAAAUAGGACGUUCGAUCCUAUUUUGUUGGUUUCUAGGAUUGACGUAAUGAUUAAUAGGGAUAGUUGUGGGCAUUAGUAUUCAAUUGUCAGAGUUGAAAUUCUUGGAUUUAUUGAAGACUAACUACUGCGAAAGCAUUUGCCAAGGAUGUUUUCAUUAAUCAAGAACGAAAGUUAGGGGAUCGAAGACGAUCAGAUACCGUCGUAGUCUUAACCAUAAACUAUGCCGACUAGGGAUCGGAUGAUGUUAAUUUUUUAAUGACUCAUUCGGCGCCUUACG
rnacentral:rRNA from 1 species